rnacentral:rRNA from 1 species
GACGAACGCUGGCGGCAUGCCUAACACAUGCAAGUCGAACGAGACCUUCGGGUCUAGUGGCGCACGGGUGCGUAACGCGUGGGAAUCUGCCCUCUGGUACGGAAUAACUCAGGGAAACUUAAGCUAAUACCGUAUAAUGACUUCGGUCCAAAGAUUUAUCGCCUGAGGAUGAGCCCGCGUAGGAUUAGCUAGUUGGUGAGGUAAAGGCUCACCAAGGCGACGAUCCUUAGCUGGCUGAGAGGAUGAUCAGCCACACUGGGACUGAGACACGGCCCAGACUCCUACGGGAGGCAGCAGUGGGGAAUAUUGGGCAAUGGGCGAAAGCCUGAUCCAGCAAUGCCGCGUGAGUGAUGAAGGCCUUAGGGUUGUAAAGCUCUUUUACCCGGGAUGAUAAUGACAGUACCGGGAGAAUAAGCCCCGGCUAACUCCGUGCCAGCAGCCGCGGUAAU